rnacentral:rRNA from 1 species
UCGGGUUGUAAAGCACUUUUGUCCGGAAAGAAAACGUUCGCACUAAUACUGUGGGCGGAUGACGGUACCGGAAGAAUAAGCACCGGCUAACUACGUGCCAGCAGCCGCGGUAAUACGUAGGGUGCAAGCGUUAAUCGGAAUUACUGGGCGUAAAGCGUGCGCAGGCGGUUUGUUAAGACGGAUGUGAAAUCCCCGGGCUCAGCCUGGGAACUGCAUUCGUGACUGGCAGGCUAGAGUAUGGCAGAGGGGGGGUAGAAUUCCACGUGUAGCAGUGAAAUGCGUAGAGAUGUGGAGGAAUACCGAUGGCGAAGGCAGCCCCUGGGCCAAUACUGACGCUCAUGCACGAAAGCGUGGGGAGCAAACAGGAUUAGAUACCCUGGUAGUCCACGCCCUAAACGAUGUCAACUAGUUGUUGGGUCUUCAUUGACUUAGUAACGUAGCUAACGCGUGAAGUUGACCGCCUGGGGAGUACGGUCGCAAGAUUAAAACUCAAAGGAAUUGACGGGGACCCGCACAAGCGGUGGAUGAUGUGGAUUAAUUCGAUGCAACGCGAAAAACCUUACCUACCCUUGACAUGGUCGGAACCCUGCUG